rnacentral:rRNA from 1 species
GGGCUGCAGUGGGGAAUUUUGGACAAUGGGGGCAACCCUGAUCCAGCCAUUCCGCGUGAGUGAAGAAGGCCUUCGGGUUGUAAAGCUCUUUCAGCUGGAAAGAAACGGUGAGCUCUAACAUAGCUUGCUAAUGACGGUACCAGCAGAAGAAGCACCGGCUAACUACGUGCCAGCAGCCGCGGUAAUACGUAGGGUGCGAGCGUUAAUCGGAAUUACUGGGCGUAAAGCGUGCGCAGGCGGAUUGUUAAGCAAGAUGUGAAAUCCCCGGGCUUAACCUGGGAACUGCAUUUGUGACUGCAAGGCUAGAGUGUGGCAGAGGGGGGUAGAAUUCCACGUGUAGCAGUGAAAUGCGUAGAGAUGUGGAGGAACACCGAUGGCGAAGGCAGCCCCCUGGGAUAACACUGACGCUCAUGUACGAAAGCGUGGGUAGCAAACAGGAUUAGAUACCCUGGUAGUC